UGUAUUGGUCUAUCGGCCACCCUGCACUCUUGAUAUCGGCAUCGCCCAUUAAAAAACCCAUAUCGGUCGACCACUACCCAGGAUUCAAAAUGUAUCAGUCUUGUAGGAUGGCACGAAAACAUAUUCUGCUGUCCAGCAGCUGGUAAAUCUUGCAGACACACCCUGAUAACAUCACGGUGGUGGCAAGUGAUUAGUGCCCACUGUCAGGUUUUACUGGCCGAAGCUCAAAUCUAUUCCCCAUUCCCUCCGCCACCUUUCUCUUUGUCUCUCUCUUUCUCUUGCUUUCUCAAUUGGAAAUAUUAAUACAGAGGGGCUCUGUGCUUUCCUGUCCAAGUCAAACAAUACUAUACACCUUCCAGAACAUUGCUGAGCAAUACUUUCUUUCGUAACUAUGAGAGUCAUUGCUCAUAAUAUUCCUGUAAUUUUAGGUUAAACAAGGGGUUCCAAGGUUUGUCUGGUUAAAAUGUUUGUUUGUUUACUGUGUUGAACUCACGUCGCUUAAGCAUGUGUGCGUUUGCUACAUUGUUUUGACUUGUCCUAGCGUAUUCAAUGCUAGAUUUUGAGUUGUUUGUUUACUGUGUGUGAAACUAGCGUUGUUUUUAGUGUGUCUCUAAACAGUGCUUCACUUGUUUUAGAGUAUUAUUUAUUGCUAAAGUUUAGCAUUGUUUGUUUACGGUGUACUGAAGUCGCGUUUGUUCCCGCAUUUGUCAUCUUGCGUGACCCUUAGUUUUGGUUACCCACAUGACUAGCUUUGUUGUGCUAAGCAGCAUUAAGGCAUGUCCAGCUUUUUUCACUUAACGACCCGAUAGUGGCGUGUAUAUAUUUGACGUGAAUGCUGAAGCAGCAGCGGAAGUGGCAGCCCUCGUGUGAAGCCCUCCUUAUGUGAAGAUCUACUUGUGUAAAGACCAGCGAGUCUACCUGUGCAAGUCCACCGAGCAAGGACACCGACAAGGCACCACUCACCAUAGCACUUAAGUACCUUUUUUAAAAAUUUAUUUUACUAUUUUCCUUAUACAUUCACAUAUGUCUACUCCAUGCAUAACAUGUGCCCUCAAGCACAUCCUUUUUAUCUGUUACAGACAGUUUACAUGAUCUAGACGCAGGACACAACACAACCCACAUAACCUACAGACACUUUGCAUUUCUGCACCUGCUCCGCACUCAUUUUUGGUUGGACUCUGGAACUGCCAGUCAGCUGUUAACAAAGCUGACUUCAUUCCAGCCUUCGCCACACAGUCCACCCUCAGCAUCCUCGCACUGACAGAAACAUGGAUACGUCCCGAGGAUACAGCAACACCGUCUGCUCUCUCCAACAACUUCUCCUUCUCUCAGGGGUGGGGGAACAGGUCAGCUGGCAAACUUUCUUGAGGAGCUGGAUGUCCUGCUGUCCUCCUUCCCUGAAGAUGGCAGGUCACUUGUGGUUCUUGGAGAUUUCAACAUACACCAAGACAAGCCCCAGGCCACUGAACUUCAUGCUCUUCUGGCCUUGUUUGACUUGGAAAGACUAAGCAAUUCAGCAACUCACAGAUCAGGCAACCAGCUGGACCUCAUUUUUACAUGCCAGCACAUAUGACAAUGCCCAGCCAUUGGCUCUCUGACGUUCUUCGUGAAGAUCGGACUGACCUCAGGGCAGCUGAGAGGAGAUGGCAGAAAUCUAAAGAUCCAGCAGAUCUGGAACAAGCUGCUGGAUGACAAUCAGUCAGGCUUCAAAAGUGGACAUUCCACAAAGACUGCCCUGCUGUCUGUCACUGAGUCGCUGAAACAGGCCAUCAAGAUUCUACUGGACCUUUCUGCAGCCUUUGACACAGUCAACCAUCAGAUCCUACUCUCCACCCUCUCUACUCUGGGCAUCACAGGAACUGUGCUUGACUGGUUUAAGUCCUAUCUCUCAGCCCAACAACACCAUGGUGACUGCUCGAAUCUCUACCUGUUUGGCAGACAUCUCGGCUUGGAUGAAGGAAUACCACCUGCAAAUUAACCCAGCGAAGACUGAGCUCCUCGUCUUUCCAGCCAACCCUGCUGUUGAAUACAUCAUCACCGUUCAGCUGUGUUCAACUUCAGUAACGCCUUCCAAAUCUGUCAUAAACCUAGGGGUAACCAUCGAUAAUCAACUCAAUUUCACAGAUCACAUCUCAAAGACAGCAAGAUCAUGUAGAUUUACACUCUACAAUAUUAGGAAAAUAAGACCUUUCCUCUCUGAACAUGCCACACAACUUCUUGUUCAGUCACUUGUCAUAACUAGACUGGACUACUGUAAUGCUCUCAUUGCAAGCCUCCCUGUACGCACAGUUAGGCCCCUGCAAAAAAGAAUGCAGCAUCAUGUCUGGUCUUUAAUGAACCAAACAGAGAGCAUGUUACACCACUCCUUGUCUCUCUUCAUUGGCUGCCGGUUGAUGCACGUAUCAAAUUCAAGGCUCUGAUGCUGGCAUACAGAACAGUCACUGGGUCUGUUCCAACAUACCUAAAAUCAUUUCUGCAGAGCUACGUUCCCACCAGAAGCCUGUGGUCAGCUAAUGAGUGGCGCCUUGUUGUACCAACACAAAGAGUCACCAAAACACUUUUCCGGACUUUCGGUUUCACUGUACCACGUUGGUGGAAUGACCUUUCCAACUCCAUCCGUGAAGCAGACUCACUCGCUGUCUUCAAAAAACUGCU